rnacentral:rRNA from 1 species
GACGAACCGAGCGAACGUUGUUCGGAAUCACUGGGCUUAAAGGGCGCGUAGGCGGGUCAUCAAGUCAGGGGUGAAAUACUUCGGCCUAACCGGAGAACGGCUUCUGAUACUGGUGACCUCGAGGGGUGUAGGGGCAUGUGGAACUUCCGGUGGAGCGGUGAAAUGCGUAGAUAUCGGAAGGAACGCCGGUGGCGAAAGCGACGUGCUGGACACCUUCUGACGCUGAGGCGCGAAAGCCAGGGGAGCAAACGGG